UAGGGAAUCUUCGGCAAUGGACGAAAGUCUGACCGAGCAACGCCGCGUGAGUGAAGAAGGUUUUCGGAUCGUAAAACUCUGUUGUUAGAGAAGAACAAGGACGUUAGUAACUGAACGUCCCCUGACGGUAUCUAACCAGAAAGCCACGGCUAACUACGUGCCAGCAGCCGCGGUAAUACGUAGGUGGCAAGCGUUGUCCGGAUUUAUUGGGCGUAAAGCGAGCGCAGGCGGUUUCUUAAGUCUGAUGUGAAAGCCCCCGGCUCAACCGGGGAGGGUCAUUGGAAACUGGGAGACUUGAGUGCAGAAGGGGAGAGUGGAUUUCCAUGUGUAGCGGUGAAAUGCGUAGAUAUAUGGAGGAACACCGGUGGCGAAGGCGGCUCUCUGGUCUGUAACUGACGCUGAGGCUCGAAAGCGUGGGGAGCAAACAGG
rnacentral:rRNA from 1 species